AAGACAGCGGGGGCUGCAUCAGGCACGGUUUCCCUGAAUCAUCCGGAGAAAUGAAAAAAAAAAAAAAAAGAACAAACAAACACAAGACAAGUGAU